rnacentral:rRNA from 1 species
GUCGGGAAUAUUGCCCAAUGGACGAAAGUCUGAGGCAGCAACGCCGCGUGCGCGAUGAAGGCCUUCGGGUCGUAAAGCGCUUUUCGGGUGGAUGAGAGCGGACAGUACACCCGGAAUCAGGUACGGCUAACUACGUGCCAGCAGCCGCGGUAAAACGUAGGUACCGAGCGUUAUCCGGAUUUACUGGGCGUAAAGCGCGUUCAGGCGGUCGGGCAAGUCGGGCAUGAAAUCUCUCGGCUCAACCGGGAGAGGUUGUCCGAUACUGCCGGACUGGAGGGCAGUAGAGGGUGGUGGAAUUCCGGGUGUAGUGGUGAAAUGCGUAGAGAUCCGGAGGAACACCAGUGGCGAAAGCGGCCACCUGGACUGCACCUGACGCUGAAACGCGAAAGCUAGGGGAGCGAACGGGAUUAGAAACCCCAGUAGUCC